UACAGAGGGUGCGAGCGUUAAUCGGAAUUACUGGGCGUAAAGCGUGCGUAGACGGUCAAGUAAGUCGGGUGUGAAAGCCCCGGGCUCAACCUGGGAAUUGCAUUCGAGACUGCGUGGCUAGGGUGCGGAAGAGGGAAGCGGAAUUUCCGGUGUAGCGGUGAAAUGCGUAGAUAUCGGAAGGAACACCAGUGGCGAAAGCGGCUUCCUGGUCCAGCACCGACGUCAGGCACGAAAGCGUGGGGGGCAAACAGG
rnacentral:rRNA from 1 species